rnacentral:rRNA from 1 species
CCUACGGGUGGCAGCAGUAGGGAAUUUUCGUCAAUGGGCGCAAGCCUGAACGAGCAAUGCCGCGUGAACGAGGAAGGUCUUCGGAUCGUACCGUUCUGUUGAAGGGGAAAAAGAGCGGAGAGAGGAAAUGGUCUCCGAUUGAUAUUACCCUUCGAGGAAGUAACGGCUAACUACGUGCCAGCAGCCGCGGUAAUACGUAGGUGGCGAGCGUUAUCCGGAAUGAUUGGGCGAAAGGGGUGCGUAGGCGGCCUGCUAAGUCUGGAGUGAAAGGUACCGGCUCAACCGGUACAGGCUCUGGAAACUGGCGGGCUAGAGAGCAGGAGAGGGCGGUGGAACUCCAUGUGUAGCGGUAAAAGGCGUAGAUAGAUGGAAGAACACCAGUGGCGAAGGCGGCCGCCUGGCCUGUUACUGACGCUGAGGCACGAAAGCGUGGGUAGCAAACAGGAUUAGAUACCCCUGUAGUC